CCUGCACAAAGGUGUGCCUGAUGCUUUUCCACUCCUGGACACCCCAGAGCCACACCUGAAGAUGAUCAACAGUGAGGUUUGGAUCUGUCCAUCGCCUGGGCUAUGGCUGGGAGAGAAGUGAAGAGUAAACACAA
rnacentral:lncRNA from 1 species